AUGAAUCGGUUUGUCUCUUUUGCAGGCUCUGCGCUGGGAGACUCGGUUCAGUCCAACGAACCCGAAGUGUCUGGAUCAGUUGGAGGCGCUGUGACACUCAGGUGUUCUUACACCACCAGCAAUACCUAUGUCUAUCUCUAUUGGUACCGUCAGUAUCCGAACCAAGCCCCGCAGUACAUUCUCAAUAUAGGAGCGAAAUCCUACAGCGGUAGCAGCCACACUGCAGAUUUCGCCCAGAAGAGGUUUUCGUCCCAGGCUACUGACACCUCCACAGUUCUGAGCAUCACAGCCCUGGAGCUGGCAGACAGCGCGGUGUAUCUCUGCGCCCUGCGUCUGGCACAGUGA